ACGUAGCGGUUGCAUGUAGGUUGGGAUAAAUUACUCUAAAAGAAAUGAAUUCUAGAUAGUUUUUCCUUCAAGUCAAUUGCCUUAU
rnacentral:pre_miRNA from 2 species